ensembl:lincRNA 4933404O12Rik RIKEN cDNA 4933404O12 gene
GAGCAAGCUGUCGUUAGUUGCAGGUCUGAGGCGGGAACCGGGGCUCCUCACGUGUUCGCGGCUCGGUUCAGCCUUCCACGAGCUCCUGAAGUUCUGCCAUUCCCCGUGGUCUGCAGUUCAGGAAGCUUCUGGAACAUGCGGCGCCUCUGCCAUGGAAACAAGAUCCGCGUCGUCAGCUUCAGAUGUGUUCUUGGAACACUGAGUUCGCCUUGGCAGCUGUCCGAAAGUUAAUCCUGUGAAGGGACCUGAAGCAGCCCUCUGAGGAAGCCUCGCGCACCCCUGCCGAAGAACAUCGCAGUGUGUUCAUUCCCCUUCCGUUGGCCUCAGGAUCCAAGCAGGAAAGAAGAGGGAAGAACUCUGAAGGACAUGAGAGGGACCCAGCUUACAGUCCAGGGUUCCCAGACUGCCCUUUGAGAAUAAAAUAGGAGGCCAGAAUCAAAGUCUUUUGGAUAAAACACCGCGACUGACCACACACUAACCCAUUUGGCUGCCCUCCUUCCCAAGGCACAGAUCAUCCCAGCAUGUGAAGGCCUCCUUCUCUCCCUCCCUCCUUCCCUUCUGACCCAUUUUCACUCUUCCACCACACAAUCAAAAAUAAAUAAAUAAAUGAAAAAAAA